AACGAACGCUGGCGGCAGGCCUAACACAUGCAAGUCGAGCGAGGACUUCGGUUCUAGCGGCGGACGGGUGAGUAACGCGUGGGAAGGUGCCCUUCUCUACGGAAUAGCCCUGGGAAACGGGAAUUAAUACCGAAAACGCCCUUUUGGGGAAAGAUUUAUCGGAAAAGGAUCAGCCCGCGUUGGAUAGGGUGGUUGGUGGGGUAAUGGCCUACCAAGCGGACGAUCCAUAGCUGGUUUGAGAGGAUGAUCAGCCACACUGGGACUGAGACACGGCCCAGACUCCUACGGGAGGCAGCAGUGGGGAAUCUUAGACAAUGGGGGCAACCCUGAUCUAGCCAUGCCGCGUGAGUGAUGAAGGCCUUAGGGUUGUAAAGCUCUUUCAGCUGGGAAGAUAAUGACGGUACCAGCAGAAGAAGCCCCGGCUAACUCCGUG
rnacentral:rRNA from 1 species